rnacentral:rRNA from 1 species
GUCUAUGGCCAUGCCACCCUGAACAAGCCCAAUCCUGUCUGAUCUUAGAAGCUAAGCAGGGUCGAGCCUGGUUAGUACUUGGAUAGGAGACCACUUAGGAAGACUAGGUGCUGCAGGCG